rnacentral:lncRNA from 13 species
AUGCAUAGGUCCACGUGUGCUGAUCUAUCUACCUCCCUCCCUCUCCUUCUCUCUCUCUUUCCCCAUCUCUCUUCCUCCCUCCCCCCUUUCAGCAGUGGGUCUUCAGAGUUGGGUGAGGAGGGAUCCAGCGGGGGCAGGGGGGCGGCAGUGAUGUACCCCCCUCCUCCAAACUGCCGCAUCCGAGAGGUACACUGUGGGAGCCAGGUGCGUCUGGUCGUCAUAGCGAUCCGAGACAUCACCAAGGGAGAGGAGAUCACCGUUGACUACAGCCUGACCGAGUGGGGAGACAACACUAUGGGUUUCCGUGGUACUGUCUCCUCAGGGAGAUAUGAGUGUAUCGCUGACCCUGAGAACAACCGUAUCAAAAAGGAGGAAGAAUCCGGGCUCGUGCCCUCCUCUCUCUCAGCCCAGGACUACCUCACCCCUUCCUGGCCCCUGUCCCCCUCUUCCUCCCCCCUCUCCCACUCCAACGCCAGCGACUCGGAUCCCCAGAAUGAGGAGGGCGAGGACGGGGGUCAGAGACGCACACCUCGCCGCCGAAAACGCCGCCGGACCACCACACCUUCCAAAAAGAGAACCACCCCUCACCGGACAUCCCCGGGCCGCCCUCCCCUCUCCUCUUCAUACCGCCCCCUCACCUUCUCCCCCCCUCCCUCCUCCUCCACCUCUUCUCGCCCUUCUCUGUUCAAAUCCCCCGCUCCGUUGGGGCCCAACACGACGGCGAACAUCAGUAUUAACAUCGCCAGGGGGAUUGGCAUGGGCGUGCCCCCCCAGAAGCUGAGCUGCGCCUACUGCGGCCGCCACUUCCGCUCACUGGGGCGCCACCUGGACAAGCACCACACCAACCAGCCUGAGAUCCGCGCCGCGCUCAUCGAGCGCUUUAUGCCCCACCUGGCGGCCGCGCACGCCACACACCACACUCAGUCCCAGCAGCAACCUCGGUCAUCAUCAGGAGUGGAGCAAAACUCCCACAAGCCACCACCGGGGGGCGCCACCGCGUUCUCCCUGUCUCCUCAACGUCCGGCCGCCCAAUCCCCUUCCUCCGCCGUUGGGGGAAACUCCUCCCCCCUGGUAUUGACUCCACCCCGAGGGCGCAGUGCGGUGGCCGUGUCCGUUCUGAAGAGAAGCCCGCCUCCGGCGGCUGUGAACCCGCCCAGAAAGGCGGGACUGCGCAAAGUGAAGAAGGAAAAAGAGGAGGAGGAAGAGGAGAACGAUCUGGUGGAAGUUGAGGUGGUGAAGCCCAAAGAAGAGGCAGAGGCGGCUUUUCCCCACGUCUUUCAGCAGACGCCCAAGGAGAUGGAACGGCUGCCGAAAGAGCAUGAAAAUGAAGAAGAGGAGGAGGCGAACGGUAUGAUGGAAGACGACAGUGGAGCGGAGGAUAAGGAGAAGGAGUUAUUGAGUUCGGGACGUCUCCACAUGCUGCCCCUCCUCUCCUCCCUGUCUUCCCUGGUCCUCUACCUCCGCAGGCUCCAGCACUCUGCCUUCCUCUCCCUGUCCCGCCAGCUCCAAUCCGCCGAGGCCUGGCGCCUCCUGUGCCACUCCUCCCUCGCCCUGCUCAUACUAUACAAUCGUCGCCGCGAGUGCGAGGUCUCCAAACUGGCCAUAGCCGAAUACCGCUCCCGUGUCACCCCCCAGUGCCCCGUGCCAGUGCCCCCCGGCGCCCCGCCCGCCCUCACACCCCUGGAGGCAUCGCUUUCGCCCUUUGAGCGUCUCGUGCUUCCACAUUUGCCUCGAGUAGGUGUCCAGGGCAAACGAGGAAGAGUCCAACCUCUUAUCCUGCCACCGCACUGCGAGCCGUGUCUGGAACUCCUCCUCCAGACCAGGCAAGAUGUCGGCGUCGAUCCCCAGAACCCGUACGUCUUCGCCCGGCCGUACCACUCCCCAGCCACCCCCCUCCGUGGCACCGACCUCCUCCGGAGCCUGGCCCGCUCCAGUGGCACCCGGAACCCCCGCGCCCUCACCCAGACCCGAGUCCGGCGCCAGGUCGCCAUCUUGACGCAGCUGCUAUUGCUCGGCGAGGGGGAGGAGCCAGGACAGCCGGGUGGGAACGCCGUAGAGCGCCUGGAACACUUCCUGGAGCGUGAGUACCACGUGACGCAGAGCUGCGGCGGGAUUGGCCACGACCCGGGGCUGAUGGGUAGAGUGGGGCGCGUGGUGCUGUGCGGGGAGAGAGACGGCGUGCUGUUCCGGGGGAUGAGCCUCCACCACAUCUGUCUGGAGCUUGACGUGAUGUCAGGCAACUCGGCCGACUCGUACUCGGAGGGCGACUCUGACGGCGAGGGGCGGAAGGAGAAGGGCGAGGUGGCCUCUCCCAGCCUGCUGAUGGUGAGGAAGGGCAGGACAAACAGCAGGACGCCGCGUGCCAGGAAACUCAAGGUCACGCCCUCCUCCACAUCGCCCCUCUCCCCCUCGCUCCCCGGCCGCAGAAGAGGCUCAGGUGGGCCCAAAUCAGGAAAACGCGGCGUCCUCAAGCGCCCGUGGUCGGACGCAGAGCGCGCCGCUGUGGAGGAGCACCUGACCUGCAACAUCGCCGAGCUGCGCGUGCCUGCUAAGGCCGACUGCGAGCGCUGCCUGCAGAGCUGCCCGCUGCUGGUCACCAACCGGCGCGACUGGCGGGCCAUCAAAUUCUACUGUCACAACCGCAUCCAGCUGCUUAAGAAGAACCAGCGGCGUGAGGACGACGGGACGCCCAUCAUGGUGUGCUGAGAAGACUGGCGGAGAGACUGAGAGAUAGAUGGACAGACACAACAAUAGCUCCACAGUAUCCACAAUAGCGUGCUACUUGGAAUGAAGGAAGCCAAAACAGAGGCGUGGUCAACUCCGUAACGUUACUGCAGUGACUGUCAACUCUGUAAUAUUUUUUCCGCUGACGGUCCAAAAACAAGAGUUGAUGCUUAAGGAACAGAGUUGACGCUUAAGGAAGCAAUGUAGUGGGCGUGUCUUUGAAGUGGUACGCUAAUGUGGGUAUUGGAAUGUAGCCUACAUCUCAUUAAGCAGGUUUCCAUCCAACCUUUUUAUGUAGUAAAGUACGGGUCAAUGUCGGGUCAAAAAUGUAGUGACAGGCCUGAUGGAAACAACAUUUUUCGGUACACUUUCCAAAUGUCAACAAAACGAAAUACGCUAGACAAGGUGGGAUAUUUUGUGUCGGUAAAAUGAAGUAUGCGAGAAAUGUCGGUGGAACUAUUGAUGUAAUAACCAUCAUAUCGAAGUAAUCUUGGGGUCGCGCGAUGACAUGUGUGGCCCUCCCACUACGGCGCGUCAGGAAAGCAUGCAGUUUAUUAGGCUACAGAUUAAAUACAUUGGGAUGAACUUCACAGGGUGGUGAAAGUGCAAGGUGAUGAGCUUGAUGCUCCUGUUUAAUAAAUAUCAAGGGUCUUAUUUUGGUGAUCAUCGAUGCGUGGCAGCCGUUUGACAAAUAAAGAAAACUCGCUCUUUUGGCCAUAAUAAUCUCAUGUAGCCUAUACGUGUGUUCUAGCCAACAGUGCGCACGUGCCAGUACCAGAGUGGGCAGACUCGCUAUAUAACAGAACAGUUUUUGUGGGAAAACCAUCUGUAGAGUUGAAAAUGUGAUGGAAACCCAUUUAACUUAUUUUUUUUAUUUGGUACAUGGGAAUUUAACAGCAAAAGGUAUUUGUAUGUGCACUACAUCAUCACGCACAGUCAAUUUGAUGGAAACGUGUCUCUGGUGGGAAAAUGCACAGAUUGUUUUUGUGCGGAUUUGAGAAUAUCUGUCACCAAUUGGAUGGAAACCUAGCUAUUGAUACACUUAUAUAUUGUCCUCUGAGACAAAAAGAGGUAGAGACUGGGGGAGUGAGAGAAGGA